GAUGAACGCUGGCGGCGUGCCUAAUACAUGCAAGUCGAGCGCAGAGACGGGGGGUUUCUUCCUUUGAUGAUUGCCGCGGGCGGGUGAGUCACACGUGGAUCAUGUAUCUAUACGACUGGGAUCACUUCGAGAAAACGGCGCUAACCCCGGAAAAUAUAUUGUAGCGUGAGGUUUACUAGUAAAAUACAGUUUUACUGCUACCAGAUGGUGCAUCCGCGUCGCAUUAGCUAGUUGGUAGGGCAGCGGCCUACCAAGGCAACAAAUAGUAGCCGACCGGAGAGGGUAAUCGGCCACACUGGAACUGAGACACGGUCCAGACUCCUACGGGAGGCAGCGUUAGGGAAUCUUCGGCAAUGGGCGAAGGCCGGACGGGGCAACGCCGCGUAGGGGAGAAAGGUCUUCGAAUCUUAAAACUCUUUUAUUAGGGAAGAACAAAUGUGUAAGUAACUAUGCACGUCUUGACGGUACCUAACCAGAAAGCCACGGCUAACUACGUG
rnacentral:rRNA from 1 species